rnacentral:rRNA from 1 species
UACGUAGGGUGCAGGCGUUAAUCGGAAUUACUGGGCGUAAAGCGUGCGCAGGCGGUUUGCUAAGACAGGUGUGAAAUCCCCGGGCUUAACCUGGGAACUGCGCUUGUAACUGGCAAGCUAGAGUGUGGCAGAGGGGGGUGGAAUUCCACGUGUAGCAGUGAAAUGCGUAGAGAUGUGGAGGAACACGAUGGCGAAGGCAGCCCCCUGGGCUGACACUGACGCUCAUGCACGAAAGCGUGGGGAGCGAAA